UCCUGGGGGGGCGGGGAAACCCGGAGAGGUCAGAAGAAUCCCUCCGUUUUCGUCGGUUCAUUAGGGAUCUCCACUUUACCGCACGAGGGUCAAAAGACAGGGAUACUGUCUGCGACUCAGCGGAAGCCUCCAGAACCACCAGCCAUCAGGGGGGGAGCCGCCUGUCAAACUCGGCUGGUCCAGCAGCAAUCUAACCCAAAUAAUCUGUGCAGAAGCCAGACCACCACCCGUCAAUCUGAACUGUCUGAGAAUGAGAAACCACAAGAACAGGAAGCAGCUUAACUGAACCCUGAAAGUGGAUGUGGGGGGGCUAGACUGAAGAACUGCUGCUUCCCCUGCAAACUGUGUUUCUGCUUAACAGGCGUUUGACUCUUAGUGUAACUAGAUGAGGAACAUUUGCUGCAGACCUUGUAUGAUUUGUAACUCCUGAGGAGGGGUCUGCAACCUGCGGCUCCAGAGUCAGGCUCCUCUACCCCUCCAUUGUGGCUCUCAGGUUAAAGAAAAAUACUGAGCUUUUGGCUUAAAGAAGUCACUGUAAAGUAAAGUUAAAAAAAAGUAAAAUAAUUUAUCACCAGCCUCCAAAAAACAGUAGCCAUAGUGGUUUGAUAAUCGAGAAAUAAACAUGUUGACGAA